CACUAUGCCUAGCCCUAAACAUUGACAGUUAAUUACACCCACUGUCCGCCCGGGAACUACGAGCACCAGCUUAAAACCCAAAGGACUUGGCGGUGCUUUAGACCCACCUAGAGGAGCCUGUUCUAGAACCGAUAAUCCCCGUUAAACCUCACCCUUCCUUGUCAUUUCCGCCUAUAUACCACCGUCGCCAGCUUACCCUGUGAAGGCCCAAUAGUAAGCACAAUCGGCAAUGCCCAAAACGUCAGGUCGAGGUGUAGCGUAUGGAAGGGGAAGAAAUGGGCUACAUUUACUAACACAGUAAAUACGGAUGAUUACCCUGCAACGAGUAUCUGAAGGAGGAUUUAGCAGUAAGCAAAAAGCAGAGUGUUUUGCUGAAAUUGGCCCUGAAGCGUGCACACACCGCCCGUCACUCUCUCCGAACUAAAACUUUAAACAUAACUAAUAUGCUAUAACUGUAAAGGGGAGGCAAGUCGUAA
rnacentral:rRNA from 1 species